ACGAGCUUCUAGCUUAAAACCCAAAGGACUUGACGGUACCCCACCCUACUAGAGGAGCCUGUUCUAUAAUCGAUAAUCCACGAUACACCAAACCAUUUCUUGCCUCAGCCUGUAUACCUCCGUCGUAAGCUUACCCUGUAAAUGCACAUAGUAGGCUCAAAGGCCUAACACCCAAACGUCAGGUCAAGGUGCAGCCCAUGAAAUGGAAGCUAUGAGCUACAAUUUCUAACUUAGAACUAAUCAAAAUACUAUAUGAAACAUAGUCAUGAAGAAGGAUUUAGUAGUAAAUAAGGAAUAGAGAGCCUUAUUAAACCCGCGCUCUGGGGUGUGUACACACC
rnacentral:rRNA from 1 species